GGAGGUGAGGGUGAUCUGGUUGCAACAUCUGUCAGCCCAUUGAUCAGCAGGGUUGAUUCAGCUGAUCUGGCUGGCUAGGUGGGUGUCCCCUUCCUCCCUCACCAUUCUAUGUGCAUCCUUCCUGAAGCUGUGUGCUCUGUCAAACAAGGCAAACACCUCAGACAGAUCAAGACUGUUUCCUCAGGAAGGGUAUAGGAGGACUAGCUGCACUCCCCUAUGAGAACCUCCAAACAAGCUCUUAAUGUCCAUAUUUUAUUUUUUAUUGUAAGACAGGGUCUCAUUAAAUUUAUAAGUUGUCUAGGCUGGACUCAAACUUGUGAUCCUCCUGCCU
ensembl:misc_RNA 7SK 7SK RNA